AGAUCUCUGGAAGAGGGAGGGUUUAAAGCAUUGACAUCAGAUGUGAUCUUGAUAAGUGUCUGUAAGAGAAGUCUGUUCAACAGAUCAUAAGGAACAAACACAAUGAUACUCCAUUCUUUUAUUCUGCUUUCUGCACUUGCAUAUGCAGCAUAUGGAAAUGAAAUUAAACCAACCAAAACAGAAGAGUUCACUGUUGAGGGUUCAAGUGUUAAAUUAUCCUGCAGUUAUUCAUCUGCAGAUUAUCUUCACUGGUACCGUCAGUAUCCCGGAUCAGCUCCUGAAUUCCUUGUGCUCAUCUCAGACAUUACAAAAGAAGCGAAGGAGUCUGAUGUAGAUUCCAGAUUCACUGCUGAGAUCAGAAAAGAAAAAGAAAACUAUGUGGAUCUGGAGAUCUCCUCUGCUGCUCUGAAAGACUCUGCUCUGUAUUACUGUGCUCUGGUGAUCAGAAGCAAACUGAGUGAAAUUGUGUAG